GUAUCCUUUGGGAACAAUUGAAAAUCAGAACAAUACAGAGAAGAUUAGCAUGGCCCCUCGGCAAGGAUGGCACAUACAUAUCGAUAUAGACGUAUAGCAACU